UACGUAGGGGGCAAGCGUUGUCCGGAAUCAUUGGGCGUAAAGGGCGCGUAGGUGGCCCGGUCAGUCAGCGGUGAAAGCGCGGGGCUCAACUCCGCGUCGGCCAUUGAUACUGCUGGGCUGGAGCACUGUAGAGGCAGGCGGAAUUCCGGGUGUAGCGGUGGAAUGCGUAGAGAUCCGGAAGAACACCGGUGGCGAAGGCGGCCUGCUGGGCAGUUGCUGACACUGAGGCGCGACAGCGUGGGGAGCAAACAGG
rnacentral:rRNA from 1 species